UACAGAGGUCCCAAGCGUUGUUCGGAUUCACUGGGCGUAAAGGGUGCGUAGGCGGCCGGGUAAGUCUGAUGUGAAAUCUCACAGCUUAACUGUGAAACUGCAUUGGAUACUAUCCGGCUCGAGGAAUGGAGGGGAGACUGGAAUACUUGGUGUAGCAGUGAAAUGCGUAGAUAUCAAGUGGAACACCAGUGGCGAAGGCGAGUCUCUGGGCCGAUACUGACGCUGAGGAGCGAAAGCACGGGUAGCGAACAGG
rnacentral:rRNA from 1 species